rnacentral:sRNA from 1 species
UUGACUUUUAAAUGUAGAUGUGGAAAAGAAUUUAAAA